CCUACGGGGGGCAGCAGUGGGGAAUAUUGGGCAAUGGGCGCAAGCCUGACCCAGCAACGCCGCGUGAAGGAAGAAGGCUUUCGGGUUGUAAACUUCUUUUCUCAGGGACGAAGCAAGUGACGGUACCUGCGGAAUAAGCCACGGCUAACUACGUGCCAGCAGCCGCUGUAAUACGUCGGUGGCAAUCGUGAUCCGGAUUUACUGGGUGUAAAGGGCGUGUAGGCGGGAAAGCAAGUCAGAUGUGAAAACCAUGGGCUCAACCUGUGGCCUGCAUUUGAACCUGGUUUUCUUGAGUACUGGAGAGGCAGACGGAAUGCGUGGUGUAGCGGUGAAAUGCGUAGAUAUUAGGAGGAACACCAGUGGCGAAGGCGGUCUGCUGGACAGCAACUGACGCUGAGGCGCGAAAGCGUGGGGAGCAAACAGGAUUAGAUACCCCAGUAGUC
rnacentral:rRNA from 1 species